GAUCAGGUAGGAAUACCCGCUGAACUUAAGCAUAUCAUU
rnacentral:rRNA from 1 species